rnacentral:lncRNA from 1 species
GGCACAGCACGCCCCAGCAUCCGCUCUCCGGCGCCCUAGCCUUACACAACAUCACGCACACCCACUUACACCCACUUACACACACAGGCACAGGCACAGGCGUCAUGUUUCACGCACAGCGUACACCGCCACACCCAGCUGUGCCCGUGCAGUAGGCCUCAGCCCUGCUCGCUCCUAAUUAGCCGCUACUUCUGCAUGAAUGCGGCAUCAUCAAGGCUGCCGCAUGCGUACAUACAUUUCGUUGACGCGAGAGCAUGUUUGCACUUGCCCCCUUACACACGCUUAAGGAGCCCUAGUGCGGCCUGGCAGUAUGUAGAUGCAACCUGGAGAACCCCAAGCAACCAGACGCUUUCUCCAGCCCAAUACAAUAUUCUGGCUCCUAUUAAAGGGAAAGAAACCCGAUUGCAGCUGGUUGUAUCAUCCAUCCAGCUCCCUGCAUGUCUGUUGGACCAUGACCAUCUUGCAGUUCCACAGCCGCAAACUCAAAUGGUAUGCAUGGACUCCCAGCCGGUGGCUGAGCCUGCAUGCCACGCAAGGUGAUGAUGGCAGCACAGCUAAGGCUUGGUACGUACCUGUAUGCAUGGCAUGGGGAUCGUGGGUGGAGGAUACACCUGCCGGUGCAGGAUUACACAUGGCUCCCUGACUGGGUAUGCAAGAUCCAAGAUACCGUCCUGGCUAGUAGUCUGGAUCAUAAAGAGUAAUGUGCUGUGCAAAGCCCCACAUAACAGCCCCGCACGGCAGGCCUUGUGCCUGUGCUUGAUGAUAUUGGAUUCCCCCCAACAGCCAAUUGGAGUUGCACACCUGCACCCAGUUCCAAGCAUGUGAUCUCAUUCCAGCAUUGCAGGCACCUGGACGAGCGGCCAACCUGUCGCAGUGCACCGCAGCAAGAGGACUGCGCCCAGGGCCUGUUGACAUCACCCAGUUUCGAUCUGGGGACCUCCUGUGUGUGAGACAGAUGUGAUUCCACUACACCAUGAUGUCGAAGCUAGGCACAGCACGCCCCAGCAUCCGCUCUCCGGCGCCCUAGCCUUACACAACAUCACGCACACCCACUUACACCCACUUACACACACAGACACAGGCACAGGCGUCAUGUUUCACGCACAGCGUACACCGCCACACCCAGCUGUGCCCGUGCAGCAGGCCUCAGUCCUGCUCGCUCCUAAUUAGCCGCUACUUCUGCAUGAAUGCAGCAUCAUCAAGGCCGCCGCAUGCGUACAUACAUUUCGUUGACGCGAGAGCAUGUUUGCACUUGCCCCCUUACACACGCUCCUUAUGUAAGGAGCCCUAGUGCGGCCUGGCAGUAUGUAGAUGCAACCUGGAGAACCCGAAGCAACCAGACGCUUUCUCCAGCCCAAUACAAUAUUCUGGCUCCUAUUAAAGGGAAAGAAACCCGAUUGCAGCUGGUUGUAUCAUCCAUCCAGCUCCCUGCAUGUCUGUUGGACCAUGACCAUCUUGCAGUUCCACAGCCGCAAACUCAAACGGUAUGCAUGGACUCCCAGCCGGUGGCUGAGCCUGCAUGCCACGCAAGGUGAUGAUGGCAGCACAGCUAAGGCUUGGUACGUACCUGUAUGCAUGGCAUGGGGAUCGUGGGUGGAGGAUACACCUGCCGGUGCAGGAUUACACAUGGCUCCCUGACUGGGUAUGCAAGAUCCAAGAUACCGUCCUGGCUAGUAGUCUGGAUCAUAAAGAGUAAUGUGCUGUGCAAAGCCCCGCAUAACAGCCCCGCACGGCAGGCCUUGUGCCUGUGCUUGAUGAUAUUGGAUUCCCCCCAACAGCCAACUGGAGUUGCACACCUGCACCCAGUUCCAAGCAUGUGAUCUCAUUCCAGCAUUGCAGGCACCUGGACGAGCGGCCAACCUGUCGCAGUGCACCGCAGCAAGAGGACUUCGCCCAGGGCCUGAUGACAUCACCCAGUUUCGAUCUGGGGACCUCCUGUGUGUGAGACAGAUGUGAUUCCACUACACCAUGAUGUCGAAGCUAGGCACAGCACGCCCCAGCAUCCGCUCUCCGGCGCCCUAGCCUUACACAACAUCACGCACACCCACUUACACCCACUUACACACACAGACACAGGCACAGGCGUCAUGUUUCACGCACAGCGUACACCGCCACACCCAGCUGUGCCCGUGCAGCAGGCCUCAGUCCUGCUCGCUCCUAAUUAGCCGCUACUUCUGCAUGAAUGCAGCAUCAUCAAGGCCACCGCAUGCAUACAUACAUUUCGUUGACACGAGAGCAUGUUUGCACUUGCCCCCUUACACACGCUCCUUAUGUAAGGAGCCCUAGUGCGGCCUGGCAGUAUGUAGAUGCAAUCUGGAGAACCCCAAGCAACCAGACGCUUUCUCCAGCCCAAUACAAUAUUCUGGCUCCUAUUAAUGCCGUACGUGUCAGGUCUGUACGUCGGGUAAGGUUGAGGAUGAAUAUCAUGUGCUUAUGGAGUGUGAGGCGUAUACUGAGUUGCGUAAUAGGUUUCUGAUUAACGUUGA